AUCGUUUUUUGGUUCGUAAGAGUGAGGAUUGGAGAUUCACACCACUGCAUGAUAUUAUGCUGCCCAUUAAACCUUGUUAUGAUGUGGGUGCACUACCUGUCUGACA